AGUGAACGCUGGCGGUAGGCCUAACACAUGCAAGUCGAACGGCAGCACAGUAAGAGCUUGCUCUUACGGGUGGCGAGUGGCGGACGGGUGAGGAAUACAUCGGAAUCUACUUUUUCGUGGGGGAUAACGUAGGGAAACUUACGCUAAUACCGCAUACGACCUACGGGUGAAAGCAGGGGAUCUUCGGACCUUGCGCGAUUGAAUGAGCCGAUGUCGGAUUAGCUAGUUGGCGGGGUAAAGGCCCACCAAGGCGACGAUCCGUAGCUGGUCUGAGAGGAUGAUCAGCCACACUGGAACUGAGACACGGUCCAGACUCCUACGGGAGGCAGCAGUGGGGAAUAUUGGACAAGGGGCGCAAGCCUGAUCCAGCCAUACCGCGUGGGUGAAGAAGGCCUUCGGGUUGUAAAGCCCUUUUGUUGGGAAAGAAAAGCAGCAGGUUAAUACCCCGCUGUUCUGACGGUAGCCAAAGAAUAAGCACCGGCUAACUUCGUG
rnacentral:rRNA from 1 species